rnacentral:rRNA from 1 species
AACGAACGCUGGCGGCAUGCCUAACACAUGCAAGUCGAACGAGACCUUCGGGUCUAGUGGCGCACGGGUGCGUAACGCGUGGGAACCUGCCCUUAGGUUCGGAAUAACUCCCCGAAAGGGGUGCUAAUACCGGAUAAUGUCUUCGGACCAAAGAUUAUCGCCUUUGGAUGGGCCCGCGUUGGAUUAGGUAGGUGGGAGGGGAAAAGCCUACCAAGGCGACGAUCCAUAGCUGGUCUGAGAGGAUGAUCAGCCACACUGGGACUGAGACACGGCCCAGACUCCUACGGGAGGCAGCAGUGGGGAAUAUUGGACAAUGGGCGAAAGCCUGAUCCAGCAAUGCCGCGUGAGUGAUGAAGGCCUUAGGGUUGUAAAGCUCUUUUACCCGGGAUGAUAAUGACAGUACCGGGAGAAUAAGCUCCGGCUAACUCCGUG